rnacentral:lncRNA from 1 species
GGGGAACUAGGUUUUAGCAAUUGAAAAACAUAAAUGACUUUAAUUAUAUGGAAAGAACGAGGAUUGUUUUCCUAGAAUGCAUCGGAAUGAGUAGAAACAGUAAUUGAGCAAAUGAAUUCCGAUAGAGGCAUAAUUGAUACUUGAAAACUCAAAUAAUAAUCUACAUUACUUCAACUGCGAUAACUUACAGGAGGGAAUUCUUAACAAUGCUUUCUAACAGUUAAUCUUGGUCAGGUUCUCAUCCUUCCAAAUAAAUCUCUUUGGAGUUAAAGCUAUAUUUUGGAAAUUAAUGACUUCUUCCAUGUGAGGCUAUCCUCAGAAGCCGACCAAAUUCUGAUAAAUCUAUAAAGCAAACUACGUUCUUUUCACUGGGAUCUGGAAGAGGAUGACAUUUAUGUAAUGGAUGAGUUUUGUGCCGUCCCCAGGAAAAUAAUCUCGUAUUUUACUAAGCUAUAGUCUGCAGAAAAAUUGCUGCUUUCAUACGCUUAAUAAAGACUCACUGAAACAUCUCACAGAAAUCCCUGAGGAUCAUCUCUGCAGUGAGCCCUGCUGGAAGUCUGAGGAGGGAAUGGUGAUGGGCCUGGGCAGCAGAAGAGCAGCACCAAGCCCUGCUCCUCCAGCUGAUGGCCUGAAGGCAAAUGGACAGGGAAGGAGGGGUUGGAGACCCUUCAAGAAGGAUGUGAGAGGGAUUUAGUGAAGUGACCGCGUGGGACCAGUGGGAACUGGGAAGAGCCUUUGGAGAUCCCCAGCAAGGGCUGGGUUUGGCCGACAGUUCAGGCAGCCAUGAAUUCAUGGUGAUGGAGGAGCCUUUGCUUUCCAAGGAUUAUCGCUGUCUGCCUUACAGCCUUCAAGUCCUGGCCCAGAGAGCCCCAGGGUAGGAGAUGCUGCACAGCACAAGCCAAAAGGUCUGCAUUUACCCCUGAAAUAUUUGCCAUCAAAGGUUCAGAAUGCAUCCACUCAUCUUCCAGACCUCUGGAUGACCAUCCAUCAUGACCGUCGUCUCCAGCCUUGUCUUAUGACACAGCUUGCCAGAAAACCUGGCAGCCCUUCCAUGGCCAACAGGAUGACCUUGUGGUGCUCAUAGGACAGGGCAUGGGACAGCUCAGCCUUCUGCUCCCAGUCCUUCAGAAAUCCUG